rnacentral:rRNA from 1 species
UACAGAGGUCUCAAGCGUUGUUCGGAUUCAUUGGGCGUAAAGGGUGCGUAGGCGGCGCGGUAAGUCGGGUGUGAAAUCUUGGAGCUUAACUCCGAAACUGCAUUCGAUACUGCCGUGCUUGAGGACUGGAGAGGAGACUGGAAUUUACGGUGUAGCGGUGAAAUGCGUAGAUAUCGUAAGGAAGACCGGUGGCGAAGGCGGGUCUCUGGACA